UACGUAGGGUGCAAGCGUUGUCCGGAAUUAUUGGGCGUAAAGAGCGUGUAGGCGGCCAAACAGGUCCGUUGUGAAAACUGGAGGCUCAACCUCCAGACGUCGACGGAAACCGUGUGGCUAGAGUCCGGAAGAGGAGAGUGGAAUUCCUGGUGUAGCGGUGAAAUGCGCAGAUAUCAGGAAGAACACCAAUGGCGAAGGCAGCUCUCUGGGACGGUACUGACGCUGAGACGCGAAAGCGUGGGGAGCGAACAGG
rnacentral:rRNA from 1 species